CCUACGGGAGGCAGCAGUGGGGAAUAUUGGACAAUGGGGGCAACCCUGAUCCAGCCAUGCCGCGUGUGUGAAGAAGGCCCUCGGGUUGUAAAGCACUUUCAGUGAGGAAGAACGCCUGGUGGUUAAUACCCAUCAGGAAAGACAUCACUCACAGAAGAAGCACCGGCUAACUCCGUGCCAGCAGCCGCGGUAAUACGGAGGGUGCGAGGUUAAUCGGAAUUACUGGGCGUAAAGCGCGCGUAGGUGGCUUGAUAAGCCGGUUGUGAAAGCCCCGGGCUCAACCUGGGAACGGCAUCCGGAACUGUCAAGCUAGAGUGCAGGAGAGGAAGGUAGAAUUCCCGGUGUAGCGGUGAAAUGCGUAGAGAUCGGGAGGAAUACCAGUGGCGAAGGCGGCCUUCUGGACUGACACUGACACUGAGGUGCGAAAGCGUGGGUAGCAAACAGGAUUAGAUACCCUGGUAGUC
rnacentral:rRNA from 1 species